rnacentral:rRNA from 1 species
AGAGUUUGAUCAUGGCUCAGAUUGAACGCUGGCGGCAGGCCUAACACAUGCAAGUCGAACGGUAACAGGAAGAAGCUUGCUUCUUUGCUGACGAGUGGCGGACGGGUGAGUAAUGUCUGGGAAACUGCCUGAUGGAGGGGGAUAACUACUGGAAACGGUAGCUAAUACCGCAUAACGUCGCAAGACCAAAGAGGGGGACCUUCGGGCCUCUUGCCAUCGGAUGUGCCCAGAUGGGAUUAGCUUGUUGGUGGGGUAACGGCUCACCAAGGCGACGAUCCCUAGCUGGUCUGAGAGGAUGACCAGCCACACUGGAACUGAGACACGGUCCAGACUCCUACGGGAGGCAGCAGUGGGGAAUAUUGCACAAUGGGCGCAAGCCUGAUGCAGCCAUGCCGCGUGUAUGAAGAAGGCUUUCGGGUUGUAAAGUACUUUCAGCGGGGAGGAAGGGAGUAAAGUUAAUACCUUUGCUCAUUGACGUUACCCGCAGAAGAAGCACCGGCUAACUCCGUGCCAGCAGCCGCGGUAAUACGGAGGGUGCAAGCGUUAAUCGGAAUUACUGGGCGUAAAGCGCACGCAGGCGGUUUGUUAAGUCAGAUGUGAAAUCCCCGGGCUCAACCUGGGAACUGCAUCUGAUACUGGCAAGCUCGAGUCUCGUAGAGGGGGGUAGAAUUCCAGGUGUAGCGGUGAAAUGCGUAGAGAUCUGGAGGAAUACCGGUGGCGAAGGCGGCCCCCUGGACGAAGACUGACGCUCAGGUGCGAAAGCGUGGGGAGCAAACAGGAUUAGAUACCCUGGUAGUCCACGCCGUAAACGAUGUCGACUUGGAGGUUGUGCCCUUGAGGCGUGGCUUCCGGAGCUAACGCGUUAAGUCGACCGCCUGGGGAGUACGGCCGCAAGGUUAAAACUCAAAUGAAUUGACGGGGGCCCGCACAAGCGGUGGAGCAUGUGGUUUAAUUCGAUGCAACGCGAAGAACCUUACCUGGUCUUGACAUCCACAGAACUUUCCAGAGAUGGAUUUGGUGCCUUCGGGAACUGUGAGACAGGUGCUGCAUGGCUGUCGUCAGCUCGUGUUGUGAAAUGUUGGGUUAAGUCCCGCAACGAGCGCAACCCUUAUCCUUUGUUGCCAGCGGUCCGGCCGGGAACUCAAAGGGGACUGCCAGUGAUAAACUGGAGGAAGGUGGGGAUGACGUCAAGUCAUCAUGGCCCUUACGACCAGGGCUACACACGUGCUACAAUGGCGCAUACAAAGAGAAGCGACCUCGCGAGAGCAAGCGGACCUCAUAAAGUGCGUCGUAGUCCGGAUUGGAGUCUGCAACUCGACUCCAUGAAGUCGGAAUCGCUAGUAAUCGUGGAUCAGAAUGCCACGGUGAAUACGUUCCCGGGCCUUGUACACACCGCCCGUCACACCAUGGGAGUGGGUUGCAAAAGAAGUAGGUAGCUUAACCUUCGGGAGGGCGCUUACCACUUUGUGAUUCAUGACUGGGGUGAAGUCGUAACAAGGUAACCGUAGGGGAACCUGCGGUUGGAUCACCU